ACAUGCGGUAACUCGAGCAAACCAGAGAGGCAUACGGACCGACACGAAAGUUUUACCAAGCGAUAGCAGGUCACCGAAACAACAUUAAACUUAAGGUAACCUGAUGUUGCAACAAGAAUGGCUCAGUACUUCGAUGAAUUACUCAAGGACCAGUUUAAUGAACAGCUAGACGCUCCACUAGCAGAUAGUGUCAUGCUAUUGCCACCUAGUAUUGAAGAAACACUAAAAGCUAUCCGUCGGCUGUAAAGUAAAAAGGCACCCGGAACCGACGGAAUCGCAGCUGAAAUGGUCAAGAUUGGAGGUGCAUGAAUAGAAAACGAAAUUCAUCAAAUUGUUACCGAGGUGUGGGAUAGUGAAUCUUGAUAUUUUGUAACUGGAAUCUCGACAUCAUCUAACCCAUGUACAAGAAGGGAGACAGGUUGUACUGCAACAACUACAGGGGUAUUAAGGUGAUACCGCCUGUAAAAUAUUCUCCUUGAUCCUUAAGGAUCGCCUUGUCCCGCACGUCGAAGAGAUAGUCGGAAAUGUUCAAAAAGGAAGGGAAUGAAACGGAAAAUCAACCACUGAUCAGAACUUUACUAUGCGGCAGAUCUUGGAGAAGAUGGCAGAAUACAGACACGACACGUACCAUCUCUUCAUUGACUUCAAAGCCGCAUGAUUGUUACCAGGCAGGGUAAACAUGUACGACGCUAUGAGCACUAUUGCUAGAGCUAGUCAACUUGGCGCUAGAGAGGCCCGUCCGUGACUAGAGGAUGGAGACUACGGGAACCAUCUUCUAUAAGUCAAACUCGGAUUGCAGAUAAGCAACGACAAUAGCAUGGUAGCUAAGUUCAACAGCCUGAGAAAUCAGUUCACCUCAAAGAACCUGUCGCGACCGGUAACACCUAUAUAGUACCCCGGUACUCACAAACGCCUCUGAGACAUGGACACUGUCCAAAUCUGAUGAAACCCUCUUAGCUGCGUUCGAGAGGAAGAUCCUCAGAAGGAUCCUUGGCCCUGUAUGUGUGGAAGGACAAUGGAGGAGCCGUUAUAACGACGAGCUAUACGAAAUGUACGGCCAUCUCACUGUCGUGCAGCGUUUGAAGCUCGCCAGGCUCGUGGCGGGCUGGCCAUGUUUCCAAGCAUGGAAAAGGACGACCCAGCCCGUAAAGUCUUUUUAGGAGGGGUGGUAGGCCCAAACGGAGGUGGCAAGAUGGCGUGGAGGCGUCCGUCAUUGAAGCCGGGAUAACAGACUGGCAAACGAUGGCGCGAGACCGUGAGCAGUUUCGGGCACUCCUGAGGCAGGCCAUGACCGCAAAGCGGUUGUAGCGCCAUAUAAUAAAUAUAAAUACAGGAUUAGAGCUAUCAUGCAGGAGGUAUCGUACUUCCCGCAACAGUCUUAUCCCACACUAUCUUCUGUGGUAUCUUCUAAUGUACUGCAGUGCCUUAUCGCAGAAGUUAAGGGACAGUGCGAAUGAAUUGUUAAAUAAAAUGAUCCCUAUCAACGCAAUUUUUAAACCGUGGUGCAUUUCUGCACAUUUUGCAUUCGGCUACAAACAUCUGAGCCACCCUGUGUCGCUGAUCGGCAGUUUGACAGCGGCGUCACUCCUUGUUGCAAAUGUUUUGUUUACUGUAAAAUAGCUCUCAUCGGCAUGGCGAAAGCAGUGCGGGAAAUACACAAUAUCUGCCGAUUGUGCUUGUGCCAGGACGAGCAGUUGCUGAGACCGGUAACGAGUAAGCUGGACACCUUGCUUAAGAUUGAAGAUGUAGAAAGAUUCACUGGAAUUAAGAUCAACGUAAAGGGAAACAUCUCAUACGCGAUCUGUUUCGCGUGCACACAGAAACUGACAGUGUCGGCCAAAUUUCGCCGAUGCUGCCUCAACAAUGAUGCCCUCUUUCAAGUGCUUUCCGGUGUACUGAUCGCUAGUACGGAGGGGUUACAAUCCGAAGAGGCUGUUGGUGAAAAAAGCGAUUCUCAGCAAACGGCCACUGACGACGAUGACGACGAUGACGAUUAUGAGUAUGAGCAAGUGUAUGAAGAGGAAGAUGAAUCGGUUUUCAAGCGCGCCGACGGUACGGGUCAGCAGGAGUACGCAUACACGCACCAGGAAGAGGAAAGUGAUAGCGAUACUUCGUACGUCGAGCCGGCCGACUACUCGGCGAACUACAUCGAUCCCGGCACACAGUCCGACAGCGAUGAGUGCGGCAACCCUGGUGCCGGGCCAAUCCUGUACAAAUGGUCAGUGGUCCAGCAGGCGGCAGCAGCGAGCACGGCCGAGCAUCACGACAGUUCAUCACAAGGGAGCGAAAUUUGUACGAUGCGCACGAGAAAGUCGUACAAACAGCAGCAGCUGUGUACCAUAUGCGGGAAGCUAGUGACCAGCCUGUCCGUGCAUACCAACUCGGUGCACAAGCAGGCGCGGGUUCACGCCUGUCCGCACUGUCCGAUCGCCAUGACCAACAAAGGCAAUCUGGUCAAGCACGUGCGUGCGGUGCAUCUGAAGCUGCUCUGCGAACGGUGCAAACUGUGCGGCAAGGGUUACACGAGUAGCAACUCGCUCAAAUCGCACAUGCUCGCCCAACACGGCAUCGGUGAGCGGGCAAAAUGUAAGCUGUGCCCAAAGCAGUUUAAUCAAAAAUCGGCCCUGCACGACCAUAUGAAGCGCAUUCACUCGAAUGUACGGCCCUUGGAGUGUGACAUCUGUGGCAAACAGUUCAAAGUGAGACGGGCGCUGCGAGUGCACAAGAGCGUCCACUCGGACGAGCAACCGUAUGCGUGCGGCAAGUGUCCGAAGCGGUUCAAAAGUAGACACGCGCGCAACAUCCACGAACGCACGCACAGCGGUGUGCUGUUUAAGUGUGACCUGUGUGGCAGAUCGUACCGCUACAAAUCGCUACUAAAUAUGCACUUGCGCAAAACGCAUCCGGAGCUGGUGGCCGAGAAAGAGCAGGACGAGCAGCAAUUAGGCUAGGAAUGAAGGGUAAACCGAACAGAGAAAGGAAAAAAUAAAUGAGUCUAAAAUCGGAAAUCGCUUGCCCAAAACGUGCAGGUCGAAAUUGUAUACAAACGUCGUGGUGCUUUCAAACAGGAAACCGUUAUUUUCAAAUUUUCCUAUUGGAGAUGUCCAAAAUAAUAGCAGCAUCAGUACAAAAUAGUUUUUUGGUGAACGUGACUCGCAACUAAUCCGUCGCCUGUUUGCACACUACGCGGUUCGAUAACGUAUCAAAACAUUGAUAUAAUUGAUGGUCCUAAACUUCCCCCAUACUUAUAUCCGUGCACACCAAUGCAUUCCCCAAGCUCACACACACACCGGCGCGCGCGCGCACACUGAUCGGUUGAGAUAAGCAGACGAUAGAAAAUAAUGUUAUCUUUUCCCGCGGCAGUGGAUAGUGGGUUUCCGCGGUUUGGUUUGGCCCGUUCCAAUUAUCGGUGCAGUGUGAGCUGGGCAAACGUUCCGACACCACGACAAGCGCCCCAACCGCGGAGGGAUUAGCACCUGGACCGUUGAGGUGUUGUCCGGCAGUGUCCGCUAACAGGCUCAAAAGAAGAAAAAACGAAGGAAAAACGAACACGAUGG